GUCUGUGGUACUAUACGGCAGAGAGUGACAAUCAUGUAUAAUUUAAAAUGAUUGACACCUCUGUUAGUGAAGUAGUGCAUGA
rnacentral:pre_miRNA from 1 species